AAUGUACGGCCUUCAACAUGGAGCCUUGGCUCACACCGAACAACAAGCUAUAAAGGGCCCCAAAAUUACUAGUGUAAAACCAUUCAAACAGGAAAACCAACGGUCUAAUCUAUAUAAAAUUUAAAAAAACGAGAAACGAGAAACACGUAUAAAUUACACAAACAAACGACAACUACUGUAAAUCAGAUUCCUGACUUAGGACAGGUGCAAAUAUUUUG
rnacentral:lncRNA from 1 species